GGGCAACGAGGCCGCCUGAACUGAGGGCAAGGGGAAAGCGUACGUUCGUGCUGCUUGCUUGGCAGCUGCGCAAAGACUGCUUUGAAGGCAAUCUGAUUUUGGGCAAUCUUCAGAAGUCCAUGAACCAGGAACGAUGGAACAAGCCAGUGACAAGGACUAAACUGGAAAAUCAAGACAUCAAAGGGCAAACCAGGAUACAAGGUCAGAAGUG
rnacentral:lncRNA from 11 species